AACUGUGAAAUAUUUCCAGGCCAAGUCCACAAUAACUUUGACUUAGUCGGUUUGAGCAACGGUCAAGUGUGACUUGACUUAAGUCAGUGCAGUGGUUCUGUCACAAAAAACCUAACACCAUGUUGAAGUUAAGGUACGACCACAUAUAUGGCAACCAGGUGCGAUGGUAUCCUUCUUCCAGAUACUAUUACGAUAACGCACUGGGACCUCUAUCAACUUACUGGCCCCUUGGUUACAACCGUCUCUUUCCCUAUCACUGGCCAGUUAGUUUGCUUGAUUUGUGGCCUACUGAGCAUCAUCUCAGGAAGAUAAGAGUUCGUAACAACUUGUACACUUUGCGGUGAAGAGAUAUUGAAGUAUGGCUGUGAUAUAAUAUAAAAUAGAUUUACUAAAGAAUGUAAUUUCAGCUUGUUAACGUUGAUUUUGUGUUUAAUAAAGAAUUGUAAACAAAA